CCCUUAGAUGUUCUGGGCCGCACGCGCGCUACACUGACGGAGGCAGCGAGCGUGUCCUUCGCCGGCAGGUUCGGGCAAUCUUGCGAGUCUCCGUCGUGCUGGGGAUAGAUGGUUGCAAUUGUCGAUCUUGAACGAGGAAUUCCUAGUAAGCGCGAGUCAUCAGCUCGCGCUGAUUACGUCCCUGCCCUUUGUACACACCGCCCGUCGCUACUACAGAGUGCCCGUGUCCAAGAAACGGUCGGACCUGUGCGGCCUCUCCGGGCGACCGGAGGGCCGUUACGGGGAAGACCCUUUAUUUGACGCGGGUCGAUGAAGUAAAAGUCGUAACA
rnacentral:rRNA from 1 species